AGUGAACGCUGGCGGUAGGCCUAACACAUGCAAGUCGAACGGCAGCACAGUAAGAGCUUGCUCUUACGGGUGGCGAGUGGCGGACGGGUGAGGAAUACAUCGGAAUCUACUUUUUCGUGGGGGAUAACGUAGGGAAACUUACGCUAAUACCGCAUACGACCUACGGGUGAAAGCAGGGGAUCUUCGGACCUUGCGCGAUUGAAUGAGCCGAGGUCGGAUUAGCUAGUUGGCGGGGUAAAGGCCCACCAAGGCGACGAUCCGUAGCUGGUCUGAGAGGAUGAUCAGCCCAACUGGAACUGAGACACGGUCCAGACUCCUACGGGAGGCAGCAGUGGGGAAUAUUGGGCAAUGGGCGCAAGCCUGAUCCAGCCAUACCGCGUGGGUGAAGAAGGCCUUCGGGUUGUAAAGCCCUUUUGUUGGGAAAGAAAAGCAGCAGGUUAAUACCCCGCUGUUCUGACGGUACCCAAAGAAUAAGCACCGGCUAACUUCGUG
rnacentral:rRNA from 1 species